CUUGUACUCCCUCCGUCCGAAAAUACUUGUCAUUGAAAUGGAUGUAUCUAGAUGUAUUUUAGUUCUAGACACAUCCAUUUUGAUGACAAGUAAUUCCGGACG
rnacentral:pre_miRNA from 1 species